CCUACAGGAGGCAGCAGUAGGGAAUAUUGCGCAAUGGGGGAAACCCUGAAGCAGCAACGCCGCGUGGAGGAUGAAGGUUUUCGGAGUGUAAACUCCUGUUGUUAGAGAAGAGAAUGACGGUAGCUAACGAAUAAGCACCGGCUAACGCCGUGCCAGCAGCCGCGGUAAUACGGAGGGUGCAAGCGUUACUCGGAAUCACUGGGCGUAAAGAGCGCGUAGGCGGGAUAGCAAGUCAGAUGUGAAAUCCUAGGGCUUAACCAUAGAACGGCAUUUGAAACUGUUAUUCUAGAGUAUGGGAGAGGUAGGUGGAAUUCUUGGUGUAGGUGUCCAAUCCGUAGAGCUCCAG
rnacentral:rRNA from 1 species